UGUAAACAAAGAUAGCUUAUUCGGAAAUGCCGCGGAAAAUGAGGCCUGAGCGCUGGGGGCUCAGCCCGACCUUUGAAAUCAGAUUGAGCUGAAGUGUUCUGGCCUCUCGCCUUCGCUCCGGCUCUUACACGGGGUUCUAAUCGUGCGUGAUCACCCACCGAGCUGCCCUGAGCUACCGUGGCAUCAGCUGGUGCUGUUUGUGCCUGGGAGUGCAGUAGUUGGGAGAGGAAAGACACGCAUUAUUCGUGUUGGGCACACUUUAGAUCGCACACCUCUUCCAGAGGCGGCAGAGGGAAAUGCAGGCUGCUCUCAGAUAUUGCAGCUCUUCAACUGAUGGGAUUUCUCCCCUUCGUUUGACUGGAUCAUGGUCCUGCAACUUGCUCCAGGCAAUGCUGUGGAUGAGAGUGGUUGGAGGUAGAACUAUGGAGAGAGGGCACAGGUCUCCAUGUUCAUCUCCUCCCAGCACUGUGAACAGUAAGGCACAGAGAGGUGGCAGCUCUGUCAGGCAGGAGCCCGGUGACAGACACUGAGCAGUAUGGCAUCUGCGGUCUUUAGUGGACACGGUUCAAGUACGGAAUAAAACUUGUUCUGAGCCUCUG